rnacentral:rRNA from 1 species
UCCUACGGGGGGCAGCAGUGGGGGAUAUUGCACAAUGGGGGGAACCCUGAUGCAGCGACGCCGCGUGGGUGAAGAAGUAUUUCGGUAUGUAAAGCCCUAUCGGCAGGGAAGAAAUUGGACGGUACCUGACUAAGAAGCCCCGGCUAACUACGUGCCAGCAGCCGCGGUAAUACGUAGGGGGCAAGCGUUAUCCGGAUUCACUGGGGGUAAAGGGGGGGUAGACGGCCAGGCAAGCCUGGAGGUAAAGCCCGGGGCCCAACCCCGGG